UACGUAGGUGGCGAGCGUUGUCCGGAUUACUGGGCGUAAGGCGCGUAGGCGGUCGUGACAAGUUCACUUGUGAAAUCUCCGGGCUUAACUCGGAACGGUCAAGUGAUACUGUCGGACUAGAGUACAGAAGGGGCAACUGGAAUUCUCGGUGUAGCGGUGAAAUGCGUAGAUAUCGAGAGGAACACCUGCGGCGAAGGCGGGUUGCUGGGCUGAUAACUGCGCU
rnacentral:rRNA from 1 species